rnacentral:lncRNA from 10 species
UUCUGAGGCCACUUGCACUGCAGACUCCAGGAGCCAGGGCUGGGCUUUGACUGGCAGAGUCCGAGCAGAGGAAGCUUGCCGGACACCAGGAGAGCUGCCACCCGGACAGAGCUGGCCAGAGGCCUGUGCAUGGGCCACAAGGAAAGAAGGCACAGCCUAACGUAACCUGGCAAGCACCUGUGUAGCCUCUGUAAGUGCUUACCCAGAGAAGCAGGAGCACGGCGAUCUGGGUGUUUGGUGACACUUCCAUCUGAGAGCAGGGCCCAGGUGGAAGAGGCAGCUGGAUGCAGGUCCACGCUGCUUUUAUGAGCUGUAACACUCACCGGGAAGAUCUGCAGCUUCACUCCUCAGCCCAGCAAGACCACGAGCCCACCGGGAGGAACGAACAACUCCAGAGGCGCUGCCUUAAGAGCUGUAACACUCACCGCGAAGGUCUGCAGCUUCACUCCUGAGCCAGCGAGACCACGAACCCAUCAGAAGGAAGAAACUCCGAACGCAUCUUAACAUCAGAAAGGACAGACUCCAGACGCACCACCUUAAGAGCUGUUAACACUCACCG